CCUANGGGUGGCAGCAGUCGAGAAUUUUUCACAAUGGGCGCAAGCCUGAUGGAGCGACGCCGCGUGGGGGAUGAAUGGCUUCGGCCCGUAAACCCCUGUCAUUUGCGAGUAAGGCUCCGCACCUAACACGUGCGUAGUUGAUAGUAGCGAAAGAGGAAGGGACGGCUAACUCUGUGCCAGCAGCCGCGGUAAUACAGAGGUCCCAAGCGUUGUUCGGAUUCACUGGGCGUAAAGGGUGCGUAGGCGGCAGGGUAAGUUUGAUGUGAAAUCCCCGGGCUUAACUCGGGAACUGCAUUGAAUACUAUCCUGCUUGAGGAUCGGAGGGGAGACUGGAAUUCUCGGUGUAGCAGUGAAAUGCGUAGAGAUCGAGAGGAACACCAGUGGCGAAGGCGAGUCUCUGGACGAUUCCUGACGCUGAGGCACGAAAGCUAGGGGAGCAAACAGGAUUAGAUACCCGGNUANUC
rnacentral:rRNA from 1 species